rnacentral:rRNA from 1 species
UAAUUUAUAUUUUAAUUAAGAUUAUUAGAAAUUUAUUUUUUAGUUAUGAUUGGGGUGAUUUUUAAAGAUUAAUAAUCUUUAAAAUUUUUUAAUAAAAAAGUUCCAUGUAGUAGUGAUUUUUUGAUAAAAAUACUCUAGGGAUAACAGCGUUAUUAUUUUGGAUAGUUCAUAUAGAUAAAAUAGUUUGCGACCUCGAUGUUGGAUUAGGAUUCUUUUAUGAUGAAGAAGUUAUAAGGGAGAAGUUUGCUCAACUUUUAAAGUCCUACUUGAUCUGAGUUCAGCCCGGG